UACGUAGGGUGCGAGCGUUAAUCGGAAUUACUGGGCGUAAAGCGUGCGCAGGCGGUUCGUUGUGUCGGCGGUGAAAGCCCCGGGCUCAACCUGGGAAUGGCCGUUGAAACUGGCGAACUGGAGUGUGGCAGAGGGGGGUGGAAUUCCGCGUGUAGCAGUGAAAUGCGUAGAUAUGCGGAGGAACACCGAUGGCGAAGGCAAUCCCCUGGGCCUGCACUGACGCUCAUGCACGAAAGCGUGGGGAGCAAACAGG
rnacentral:rRNA from 1 species